CAGCCGCCGCGGUAAAACGGAGGGUGCAAGCGUUAAUCGGAAUUACUGGGCGUAAAGCGUGCGUAGGCGGUUCGUUAAGUCUGUUGUGAAAGCCCCGGGCUCAACCUGGGAAUGGCAAUGGAUACUGGCGAGCUAGAGUGUGUCAGAGGAUGGUGGAAUUCCCGGUGUAGCGGUGAAAUGCGUAGAGAUCGGGAGGAACAUCAGUGGCGAAGGCGGCCAUCUGGGACAACACUGACGCUGAGGCACGAAAGCGUGGGGAGCAAACAGGAUUAGAUACCCGAGUAGUCCCUGUCUCUUAUAC
rnacentral:rRNA from 1 species